AGUGAACGCUGGCGGUAGGCCUAACACAUGCAAGUCGAACGGCAGCACAGUAAGAGCUUGCUCUUACGGGUGGCGAGUGGCGGACGGGUGAGGAAUACAUCGGAAUCUACUUUUUCGUGGGGGAUAACGUAGGGAAACUUACGCUAAUACCGCAUACGCCCUACGGGUGAAAGCAGGGGAUCUUCGGACCUUGCGCGAUUGAAUUAGCCGAUGUCGGAUUAGCUAGUUGGCGGGGUAAAGGCCCACCAAGGCGACGAUCCGUAGCUGGUCUGAGAGGAUGAUCAGCCACACUGGAACUGAGACACGGUCCAGACUCCUACGGGAGGCAGCAGUGGGGAAUAUUGGACAAUGGGCGCAAGCCUGAUCCAGCCAUACCGCGUGGGUGAAGAAGGCCUUCGGGUUGUAAAGCCCUUUUGUUGGGAAAGAAAAGCAGCAGGUUAAUACCCCGCUGUUCUGACGGUACCCAAAGAAUAAGCACCGGCUAACUUCGUG
rnacentral:rRNA from 1 species